UGUUUAUGUGUGCUCAGCCGUGCCGGCGUCCUCUUUCGUAUUUUCUCUGAACCACCGACGAAAGCUUCAUCGCCGCCGACGAGUUGUUCUUUAUUCACUUUUUACAGAUCAACAAUGCAUCUAGCUCAGCUUUCUCUCGCAAGUCUUGGCCCCCACAAGCAUGACUAGAGCCUUUGCAGCUUUCGGUGGGAUUUGUCGUUAGCGUGGACUCAGAUGGCCUUGUCUCUGUUCAAAUUAGAUUGGCCCCGCGUUAAUGUAAACUUGUUGACAAUUUCCAUUUGGAUUCGUGGAAAUCUCAGGCCACUGAACGUUUGAUUACAAAAACGCGUCGCUGUAUAUAUACAAAGCCCCACACACGUGAUGCUUCACACAUUAAAUAAGAGCAGAGUGGCCUUCAAACUUCUUUAAUGCCUAUGUAUGUAAGAUGACCAUCUAUAAUCUGUUCUGAUUAUUUUCCAAAUUCCUGGUUAAUGUUAAUUUAAUCAUUUUGAUUACAA